AAUAGAUAGACGUAUAAUGAAUAUCGAAAAAACAAAGAAACAAAACCCUAAAAAUAUAAAAACCCUUUCCUAUUUCCCUCAUCCUCUCAGUCACACACAACACAACAAUUCAAAAACCCUAAAAACCAGAUCAACUUCAUCUCGCCGUUUCUAUCGGAAAAAAAAAAAAAAAAAAAGAGUGAACCAGUCCCAUUGCCUGUCAGCCGGAGUCCAUAUCAUAUCUAUCAUCGCUCACUGAGCGAGGGAUAUCAAAAGAUAAUUGUGUAUCCACAGGGCUCUAAUUUACGUGACGUCAGGGUCUUCGUGAAUUGGAACACAGGAACCGUUACUGUGAAUGGUAACAUUGAUUCGGCGAUUCCGCACUUCCCUAUGGAAAUAUCUCUUCCGGCAGGCUUUUAUGACCAAAGUGCCCUCGGAUUCAGGGUUUUUGGCAGUGAACAAAUAGUCAUUAACUUUCCCUUUGUUGGAGACGGUUCGUGGGUGCCUCUUCGGCGAUUGGAUCAAUCUUCUCUGGAGCAAUCUUCGCAGGAGCAAUCUUCUCAGGAGCAAUCUUAGUUAGUAGAGAAUACCGCUGGGUUAUGACAUGAUGGAGCAGAAACAAAAAGAAACAACUAAUCUAUAUAUUUUUGUCCUUUUCUUUUUAGGUAAAAAAAAAUAUUAACAACACUUAGAUUUUAUUUUUUCUUGUUUCUUAAUGUAAUGUAGUGGUGCUUUGACGACCCAUUGAGGUUUUUUAAAAAUGUGAAUGAAUGAAUCUUGACUAUCAGAAGAAGAAUGCUAUUCCAUUCA